UACGGAGGGGGCUAGCGUUGUUCGGAAUUACUGGGCGUAAAGCGCGCGUAGGCGGCUUUGUAAGUUAGAGGUGAAAGCCCGGAGCUCAACUCCGGAACUGCCUUUAAGACUGCAUCGCUAGAAUUGUGGAGAGGUAAGUGGAAUUCCGAGUGUAGAGGUGAAAUUCGUAGAUAUUCGGAAGAACACCAGUGGCGAAGGCGACUUACUGGACACAUAUUGACGCUGAGGCGCGAAGGCGUGGGGAGCGAACGGG
rnacentral:rRNA from 1 species